rnacentral:rRNA from 1 species
GACGUAGGGCGCGAGCGUUGUCCGGAUUUAUUGGGCGUAAAGAGCUCGUAGGCGGCUUGUCGCGUCGACUGUGAAAACCCGCGGCUCAACUGCGGGCCUGCAGCCGAUACGGGCAGGCUAGAGUUCGGUAGGGGAGACUGGAAUUCCUGGUGUAGCGGUGAAAUGCGCAGAUAUCAGGAGGAACACCGAUGGCGAAGGCAGGUCUCUGGGCCAUAACUGACGCUGAGAAGCGAAAGCAUGGGGAGCGAACAGG